UCCUCCUCUUCCUCCUCCUCUCUCUUCCUCUCUCUCUCUCUCUCUCUCUCUCUCUCUCUCUCUCUCUAAGCGCUUUUUAAUUUUUGGUCGUGGACGAGCUAGGGCUCUUUCAAUGGCCACGGAUCGCCAACCUGCGGGAAAUGACUAUGGUAGGCGUCUGCCAGUGUUCUUUGUCGAUGCUACUCACAAUGCUCAUCUGGGCCUUUCUCAUAAUCCUAAUAAAUCUCUGCUUUCAUCCUCAUAUCAUAAGUGCAUGUGUUGGUGGGGGAGCCUGCUUCUAGGUUACAAGACUUUAGGAGUUGUAUUUGGAGGACUGGUUACAUCCCCACUUUAUGUUUACCCUUCAAUGCGUUUGAAAUCUCCAACAGAAGAUGAUUACUUAGGAAUUUACAGCAUCAUGUUCUGGACCCUUACUCUUAUUGGUGUUGUCAAGUAUACUGGCAUUGCUCUUGAAGCUAAUCAUCAUGGUAAAGGACGAACAUUUGCUUUGUAUUCCUUGCUUUGUAGGAAUCUGAAUAUGGGAAUCCUUUCCUCAGAAAGUGUAAAUUCAAACUUCAGCCUUUCACAUUCUGUGCCAGACGAGGGCUCUAAAAACCAAGGUAGACUCUGGAAAUACUUUUAAAGAAGUGUGAUUGCUAGAAGGAUGUUGCUUUUCGUUGCAAUGUUAGGCACAUUAAUGCUAAUUGGUGAUGGUAUACUUACUCCUGCAAUUUCAGGUAGUUACACAAGUCUAUAAAGGUGGUUAUUCAACAAAGGUGAGCAGAACUCUUUACUAUAAAUAGAGAUGCCUACUAGAAGUUCCAUCCAUCCCAAGCAUCUCCAACUCCAGCUUCAGAGAGAGAGAAAUCAAGUACUCUUGUAAAAAAAGGUGUCAUUGUUGUAGCCUGUUGUUUCUAGUGAGAUUUGUAUACUCCUAAUUCAAGAGAGAGAUAUCAGUAUUCUCCUUUUGUAAUUAGAGUUAACUUGCAUCAUUAUUUUUCAUAGUGAAUUCUUUCUAUUUUU